rnacentral:rRNA from 1 species
AGGACGAACGCUGGCGGCGUGCUUAACACAUGCAAGUCGAGCGGUAAGGCCUUUCGGGGUACACGAGCGGCGAACGGGUGAGUAACACGUGGGUGAUCUGCCCUGCACUCUGGGAUAAGCCUGGGAAACUGGGUCUAAUACCGGAUAUGACCUGCUCUCGCAUGGGGGGUGGGUGGAAAGAUUUAUCGGUGCAGGAUGGGCCCGCGGCCUAUCAGCUUGUUGGUGGGUAAUGGCCUACCAAGGCGACGACGGGUAGCCGACCUGAGAGGGUGACCGGCCACGACGUGGGACUGAGACAUGGCCCAGACCUCCGUACGGGAGGCAGCAGUGGGAAUAUUGCACAAGUGGGCGAAAGCCUGAUGCAGCGACGCCGCGUGAGGAUGAAGGCCUUGGGUUAGUAAACCUCUUUCGAGCGAGGACGAAGCGACAAGUGACGGUACCUGACAAGAAGAAGCACCGGACUAACGUACGUCGACCAGACACGGCCGACGGUAACUCGU